UACGUAGGGCGCAAGCGUUAUCCGGAAUUAUUGGGCGUAAAGAGCUCGUAGGUGGUUUGUCGCGUUGUCCGUGAAAUUCCCUGGCUUAACUGGGGCGUGCGGCGAUACGGGCAGACUGGAGUACUGCAGGGAGGACUGGAAUUCCUGGUGUAGCGGUGGAAUGCGCAGAUAUCAGGAGGAACACCGGUGGCGAAGGCGGGUCUCUGGGCAGUAACUGACG
rnacentral:rRNA from 1 species